GAUGAACGCUGGCGGCGUGCCUAAUACAUGCAAGUCGAGCGAACAGACGAGGAGCUUUCUCCUCUGACGUUAGCGGCUGACGGGUGAGUAACACGUGGAUAACCUACCUAUAAGACUGGGAUAACUUCGUGAAACCGCAGCUAAUACCGGAUAAUAUAUUGAACCGCAUGGUUCAAUAGUUCAAGACGGUUUUGCUGUCACUUAUAGAUGGAUCCGCGCCGCAUUAUCUAGUUGGUAAGGUAACGGCUUACCAAGGCAACGAUGCGUAGCCGACCUGAGAGGGUGAUCGGCCACACUGGAACUGAGACACGGUCCAGACUCCUACGGGAGGCAGCAGUAGGGAAUCUUCCGCAAUGGGCGAAAGCCUGACGGAGCAACGCCGCGUGAGUGAUGAAGGUCUUCGGAUCGUAAAACUCUGUUAUUAGGGAAGAAAAAAUGUGUAAGUAACUAUGCACGUCUUGACGGUACCUAAUCAGAAAGCAACGGCUAACUACGUG
rnacentral:rRNA from 1 species